GGGCCCGCACAAGCGGUGGAGCAUGUGGUUUAAUUCGAUGAUACGCGAGGAACCUUACCAGGGCUUAAAUGUAAGUUGCAUUAGCUAGAGAUAGCUAUUUCUUCGGACCACUUACAAGGUGCUGCAUGGUUGUCGUCAGCUCGUGCCGUGAGGUGUCAGGUUAAGUCCUAUAACGAGCGCAACCCCUGUUGUUAGUUGCCAGCGAGUCAUGUCGGGAACUCUAACAAGACUGCCGGUGCAAACCGUGAGGAAGGUGGGGAUGACGUCAAAUCAUCACGGCCCUUACGUCCUGGGCUACACACGUGCUACAAUGGUCGGUACAGAGAGCAGCCACUGCGCGAGCAGGAGCGAAUCUAUAAAACCGAUCACAGUUCGGAUCGGAGUCUGCAACUCGACUCCGUG
rnacentral:rRNA from 1 species